UACGGAGGGGGCAAGCGUUAUUCGGAAUUAUUGGGCGUAAAGGGCGCGUAGGCGGCUAGAUGUGUCAAAGGUGAAAUCCCUCGGCUCAACUGAGGAACUGCCUUUGAAACUGUCUGGCUUGAGGCCGGGAGAGGGUAGCGGAAUUCCCAGUGUAGCGGUGAAAUGCGUAGAUAUUGGGAGGAACACCAGUGGCGAAGGCGGCUACCUGGACCAUAACUGACGCUGAGGUGCGAAAGCGUGGGGAGCAAACAGG
rnacentral:rRNA from 1 species